CUCUAUUACCUCAUGUGCCAUAAAAUUUUAGGCAACUGCAAAGGAUAUGAAGGUCUGUAUUUCGUCUUCGAUAGCAUCCUAUUAUAGACCACUACGUGUGGAUCUCGUUCCACCUUCUAAUACUUGCUCUGAAACUAACACAAGUUCUAUUUUUGUAAAUUUCAGAUUCUCUAGGAUCACGAUGAAACCCCACUCGGCUGCUAUUCAUAAUGGGCCGUUUUGGCGUUGCACGCAUUAUUGCAAGACUCGGUGCCGGGCCAAUUUGGUUACGACAAACCAGAGCAAGAAAAUAUCCACCGGCAGUCCGGUGCAUAGCCACAUUGCUGAUUAUCCCGAAUUGAUCGAGGGAAUAUAGUUGUGCGGGGCCAAGUUCACGCCAAACUACUAACAGGUUAUCCAUCUGGACAUCACUGGCGAAGCAUUUUUUGAAGACAACAACUUAAAACCGAAGAUUCGACGAUGACAGUUACAAUACUCUUUAAUUUUUUUUUUUGAUUGUUUUAAAUUGCCAAUUAAUAAAGUGAACUGUGAUAUCUA